GACUAUGAGGCUUUUUUGAUACAAAUAAAACCAUAAUUAUAUUGUUAUGGUUUAAAACCAUAGCUAAAACCUACAAAAUGUUUUUGAAAAAAGGCCCGCGAAAAUUUUUGUUCUCACGGGCUAAUAUUUGAAGAGAGCGAAUUAUGUGAGACUCUAGCCUCAUGCAAGACGGUGCUGCCUGCGAGCUUUUUCAUUCACGCUUUUUUGUUAGGAUUUCUCUCCAUCAAGUAAAUGAGUUUCCGGAGCUUGGAGAUUGUGGGUUGGAGAUGCAACGACAAGGGUGAUGGAGGUAGUUUUGGAGGGGGUGAAAUAGAGAUAGAGGUGGUGGUGAUUACAAAGGGUGGGUGGAGAUAGUAGGGGUGAGAGGUAGGUUUGUGACGAGAAAAGGAUUAGGGAUUUGGGGCUUGCGACUGGAGGUAGGUUUGGAGGCAAAAAAAUUAAAAUCUCAAUUAACAUGCAUUUCAGAUGAAUGUUUAAAUGCUUCAAUGAAAAUGCGCAUGCAUCUUUUGUUUUGUUGGACUAGGAUUUGUAUCAUCCUUAGACAAGAUUGGGAGGAUGUGUCAUCUGUAUCUAACCAGGGACCAUGCUAUAUUCCUACACAACCUCUUACAUGGGGACGACAUUCAAUCCAUAGCUUAGUUUCACAAGAAGACACUCUUCGAUGACUACUGCAUCUCCAGCCAGAAUGACGACCGCAUCACCUCCGCCAUUAACCUCAUCCUUGUACAUUGCCCUUUUGCAGCAACCUCACUAUUGAGGGCGGAGACCACCUCUAGAUUAAGCUUGUCUAGAAGCUCUAGUUCCCUCUAGCCCAUGCCUUUCCUCACUUUCAAGACUAAAGUGCUUGUUUAAAUGCCUAGCCUAAUCCUUAUUGACAAUUGCGUUGUGACGCUAAUGCAUUUAGCCUCCAAUUCUAUUAAAGCCUACUAAUGGUGUUAUCUAUGGACUUAUUUAUUUUUAUGUGAUUGUUUAAAAUCAUUGUUGAAAACUUAAAUUUGUUUCCUUAAGGUGAUUAUCAUCAAGCAUUUUUUUUUUUUUUUUGGAGCUAUUGGUUUAUGCUAGAGUUAGAAAUUUAUAUCCAUAUGGCUAUUUUGCAUGUUGUUCCUUUAGUUAGUAGUUUCCAUGGUUAUGAUAUUAUAAUCAAUAUAUAUUGGAAAUAUUGUUUAGUCAUGAGAAAAUUAAGUAGCUGAUUGUAAGGAGGUCAAGAAAGCUGUUUAUUUUUUAUCCAAUUCUAUCUUAUCUUUGAUAUUUGAAGCACAAGUUGCUCUU